rnacentral:rRNA from 1 species
AUCAAUAAGCGGAGGAAAAGAAAACAAAAGUGAUACCCUUAGUAACGGCGAGCGAACAGGGUAAAGCCCAACGCAAAGGCAUAUUAUAUUUGAAUAUAAUAAGCGAUGCUGCGUGUGGGUUAACUGCUUGAGUUUAAAGAAUAAAUUAGCAUGUGUUCAAACGAACUACCAAAUAGUUGGCCAUAGAGGGUGAAAGCCCCGUAUGAUCAUUAUAAGACUAAUUUAUUUUAAUACAAAGGCGUUAACCUGAGAGUAAGAUUGCUUGAGAGUGCAGUCUGAAGUAGGAGGUAUGCAUCUCCUAAGGCUAAAUAUCACUGCGAGACCGAUAGCAAACAAGUAGCGUGAGCGAAAGUUGAAAAGAACUCUGAAGAGAGAGUUCAAAGAGCGUGAAACCACUAAUAGGGAAGCGGUUGUUACCUCGAAUAAGCGUUGCAUUUGUGUGAGGUGUUUGUACUUGUUAAGACUARUUGAAUUAUGUUGAAGUUUAAUUUAUUAAAUGGAGCUAAUUUAAUUAGAAUUUAUACUUGCAAAYAUCUUAUAAAACACAAAUGUGCUAGUAUCUUGUGCUUUCUUAAAGUUUCAUAUUGAUUGUUUAUUGCUUUAUCAAUUUCACCGGGGGAAAUUGAAUAAGAUAGACAAUAUUUAAGUUGUUAGCUAACCUAUUUUUUUUUGUUAGAACAUUCGAUUCUAAUAGAAAAUUUAGGCUGAAACUUAUAUGGUUUAACAGAAAGAAAGUUGUAAGAUAUAGUAGAUCGGUAAGCAACUGCCCCGUCUUGAAACACGGACCAAGGAGCCUAACGUGUACGCAAGUCUUUCAGAUUAAAUAAUAAACUGAGUUUGGCGUAACGAAAGUAAAAGUGUUUGGUUWWUUUUUAUAAACAUAACAUAGCUAUGAGGUUAUGAAUUUAAAUUUAUAAUUGCAAUAGCAAUACAAUUUGUAUAAGUUGUAUUAGAGCGUACACGGUAGUACCCGAAAGAUGGUGAACUAUGCUUGAGCAAGGCGAAGCCAAAGGAAACUUUGGUGGAAGCCUGUAGCAGUUUUGACGUGCAAAUCGAUUGUCAGACUUGAGUAUAGCGGCGAAAGACUAAUCGAACCAUCUAGUAGCUGGUUUCCUCCGAAAUUUCCCGCAGGAUAGCAAGCACUAAAUAAAAUCAUUUAAACCUGUUACAGUCUCAAUAGAAGGUAACGGGGCGUAAAUUGACCUCGUCCUUUUCUUAAACUCGGUCAAUGGGUUUUGUCAUUUUUUUUUAUUUAAAAAAAAAAUUGCCAYACGUUAAAUAGCGUGUUGGAAAGACAGCAAUGAUAAUGUGCUUAGUGGGCCAUUUUUGGUAAGCAGAACUGGCGAUGUGGGAUGAACCGUACACAAAGUUAAAGUGCCAAAGAUUAUUUAUACGCUAAUCAGAUCCCAUUAAAGAUGUUGUUCGCUUAAGACAGUAGGGCGGUGGCCAUGGAAGUCGGUAUCCGCUAAGGAGUGUGUAACAACUCACCUACCGAAGCGUUCAACUCUGAAAAUGGAUGGCGCUAAAGCGUUACACUGAAACUUUGUCGUAGAUUAGUAAAUCCAAUUUUGAAAUGUUGAUUUAUUUUUAUUUUAAAUAAUAAAUAAUAAUUUAACAUAUUAAACUUCUACGAGUAGGAGGAAUGUGGCGAUAGCGUUGAAGCUUUGCACGUAAGUGUGAGUGGAGCUGUUGCUAGUACAGAUCUUGGUGGUAGUAGCAAACAAACAAGUGACAACCUUGUUGACCGACGUGGAUACGGGUUCCAUGAGAACAGUAAUUGGCCAUGGGUUAGUCGAUCCUGAGGGGUGCGGUGAAAACCGUUUCGUAAGAAGUAUUCUUUUUGAAUGCACCUCGAAAGGGAAUGAGGUUAAUAUUCCUCAACCUUAAUUGUGGCAUUUUUUUAUGUAAAGCGGUAACGCAUUCGAACUCAGAGACAUCAGCUAAAGUUCUGGGUAGGGUUAUCUUUCCUACUUUAAGGUUAUUUUAAGUGCCUUGAAUCAGUUUAGCUGGAGACAGGCAUUUAAAUUGCGAAAUGCAUCGCGCUUCAAGUGGUGUAUCAGUGUACUUUGGUUGAUCCUUGAAAAUCUGGGUGAGUGUUAUAAACCACAAUAAGAUCGUACCUGGAUCCGCAACCGGUAUCCUAGGUGAACAGCCUCUGGUCUAAUAGAAAAAUGUAGGUAAGGGAAGUCGGCAAAGCUGAUCUGUAUCUUUGGUACAAAGGUUGGCUCUGGCGUGUUUGCUAAUUGCGUUAAAAUUAGUAUUUAAGAAUUAAUCAUGUGCACUGGCUGAUUUUAAUUAAUUGGACGGGGUUAUUGUGCAAUUUUUGAAGAAAAUUUUAAGUACGAUUAGCAAAUAAAACAAUUAGUCAGAACUAUCAUUGACUGUUCGGAAUCUGACUGUUUAAUUAAAACAUAGCAUUGAGAUGACUGGUGACCCAGUGUUGACUCAAUGUGAAUUCUGCCCAGUGCUCUGAAUGUCAACGUGUAGAAAUUCAAUGAAGCGCGGGUAAACGGCGGGAGUAACUAUGACUCUCUUAAGGUAGCCAAAUGCCUCGUCAUCUAAUUAGUGACGUGCAUGAAUGGAUUAACGAGAUUCCAUCUGUCCCUACUUACUAUCUAGCGAAACCACAGCCAAGGGAACGGGCUUGGAAAAAUCAGCGGGGAAAGAAGACCCUGUUGAGCUUGACUCUAGUCUGGCAUUGUGAGGAAACUGUAUCUGGUAUAGCUUAGGUGGGAGGCAUUAGCAAUAAUGUCGUUAUCAACUGUAAAACCACCACAGUACAGCACCACUCACUGACUUAGUUAUGAGGCUUACUUUAGGAAAAAUAUUUUUAAAUAUUUUUUUUAAAGGAAUCUUCAAAAUAGUGAAUUAAGUCGGCGUGGUAGAUUGUUAUUUAAUAUUAAAUUUCGAUUUAAUAUUAAAUCAAUUUACAUUUAACACACCGUCAAGGCAUUAUCUAAGGACAGUGUCAGGCGGGGAGUUUGACUGGGGCGGUACAUCUAUCAAAUGCUAACGUAGAUGUCCUAAUGUUAGCUCAGUGAGAACAGAAAUCUCACGUAGAAUAUAAGGGUACAAGCUAGCUUGAUUCUGAAUAUCAGUAUGAUUGCGAGACAAGAAAUUGUGGCCUAACGAUCCUUUUGAAAAGCAAAAUAUUAUUAAUGCAUAAUGCAAGAGGUGUCAGAAAAGUUACCACAGGGAUAACUGGCUUGUGGCGGCCAAGCGUUCAUAGCGACGCCGCUUUUUGAUCCUUCGAUGUC